rnacentral:rRNA from 1 species
ACAGGAGAGCUUGCUCUCUGGGUGGCGAGUGGCGGACGGGUGAGGAAUACAUCGGAAUCUACUCUGUCGUGGGGGAUAACGUAGGGAAACUUACGCUAAUACCGCAUACGACGUACGGGUGAAAGCAGGGGAUCUUCGGACCUUGCGCGAUUGAAUGAGCCGAUGUCGGAUUAGCUAGUUGGCGGGGUAAAGGCCCACCAAGGCGACGAUCCGUAGCUGGUCUGAGAGGAUGAUCAGCCACACUGAACUGAGACACGGUCCAGACUCCUACGGGAGGCAGCAGUGGGGAAUAUUGGACAAUGGGCGCAAGCCUGAUCCAGCCAUACCGCGUGGGUGAAGAAGGCCUUGGGUUGUAAAGCCCUUUUGUUGGGAAAGAAAUCCAGCUGGCUAAUACCUGGUUGGGAUGACGGUACAAAGAAUAAGCACCGGCUAACUUCGUGCCAGCAGCCGCGGUAAUACGAAGGGUGCAAGCGUUACUCGGAAUUACUGGGCGUAAAGCGUGCGUAGGUGGUCGUUUAAGUCCGUUGUGAAAGCCCUGGGCUCAACCUGGGAACUGCAGUGGAUACUGGGCGACUAGAGUGUGGUAGAGGGUAGCGGAAUUCCUGGUGUAGCAGUGAAAUGCGUAGAGAUAGGAGGAACAUCCAGGCGAAGGCAGCUACC